rnacentral:lncRNA from 13 species
AGCUGAACUGGAGGCGAGGCACCACACCCUAAUAAGGUAAUAUCACAAUGAUCCAGUUGAAUGUAGACACAAAUAUAAUACUUUUUUGUAUUACAACUUUUCUGAAAUAUUGAAUUAGAAUAUGCUAAUUAGGCAAUAUCUAAUUAAAGCUGGAAUAAUAAUGGUGAAACAGCCACAUCUAUUUGCAAUAUUACAACAACAAAGAAGUUACUGCAAACAAUGAACACUGUCUUGUCCACCAGCACCUCAUUGCACGAUAGAAGAACAGAAUAUGUACUGUAAAAAUGUUUUAUCAUGCUGCACAACGCUCAACGCUAGCUUGGCAAAACAAUAACACAGUUGGUGGGGUGACCAGUNNNNNNNNNNUUCCCGCUGGGGCUACCCAUACGUUUCCCGCUGGGGCUACCCAUACGUUUCCCGCUGGGACUACCCAUACGUAAAAUGUAUGCAUGCAUGACUGUUGCUUCGGAUAAAAGCUUCUGCUUAAUGACAUAUUAUAAAUUUGCUCGCAGGUUAAAGGCAUUACAGCUUUUAAAGACAAUUUCCAAUUGAGCUGACAUGCAAGAUGCAGUGAACGCGUGAACAUUGCCUUUAAAAGAUGCAAUAACCCACGAUUUGGAUUGAAUAUAUAUUUUGUACUUAAAUUAGGUAGGCCUACAGUAUAUACUCUGUAUUUACAUCAAAUGGAUUUCUACUUGUUCACUAGAAAUUCC